rnacentral:sRNA from 1 species
AAAUCGCUAGCCUGUGAGUGCCACAGGAAGC